rnacentral:lncRNA from 12 species
AUGGAUUUUGGGAUGGAUUUUGGGAUGGAUUUUGGGAUGGAUUUUGGGAUGGAUUUUGGGAUGGAUUUUGGGAUGGAUCCCGGGGGGAUUUUGGGAUGGAUUUUGGGAUGGAUUUUGGGAUGGAUUUUGGGAUGGAUUUUGGGAUGGAUUUUGGGAUGGAUUUUGGGAUGGAUCCCGGGGGAUUUUGGGAUGGAUUUUGGGAUGGAUCCCGGGGGGAUUUUGGGAUGGAUUUUGGGAUGGAUUUUGGGAUGGAUUUUGGGAUGGAUUUUGGGAUGGAUUUUGGGAUGGAUUUUGGGAUGGAUCCCGGGGGGAUUUUGGGAUGGAUUUUGGGAUGGAUUUUGGGUGGGUCCCGGGGUGGGAGGGGUCGCACCGGGCAGGGACCCCGGGGUGCUCGGGGCACGGGGAGGUCACAGCCUUGGGGACACCGCCAGGAGCUCGGUGACAGCUCGGGGGACAUUCCCAAGAGCUGUGGCCGCUCAGGUGACAUUUCCAGGAGCCUGGUGGCCGCUCAGGUGACAUUUCCAGGAGCCUGGUGGCCGCUCAGGUGACAUCACCAGGAGCCUGGUGGCGCCUCAGGUGACAUCGCUGGGAGCUUGGUGGCCGCUCAGGUGACAUCCCGGGGAGCUUGGUGGCCGCUCAGGUGACAUUCUCCAGCCCGGUGGCCCCUCAGGUGACACCCCCCCAGCCCAGGGCCACCCUCCAGCUCACCCCAAAAAAGCCCUGGGGGAGCUCUGGGGAGCGGUGUCCCCUGGCGGGGGAGGCGCUGGGGACACUUGGGGACAUUUCUGAGCACAGUGGAGCCCUCCCCAUUUUAGGGGAAAAAUUGGGGGAUUUUGGGGGAGUGCAGGAGGAAGAGGAGCCCUCCCCAUUUUAGGGGAAAUUUUGGGGAUUUUUGGGGGUGUUGGGAUGGGCAGGAGGAAGAGGAUCCCUCCCCAUUUUAGGGGAAAUUUUGGGGAUUUUUGGGGGUGUUGGGAUGGGCAGGAGGAAGAGGAGCCCUCCUCGUUCUGGGGGGAAAUUUUGGGGGGCGCAGGCCCCCCCCCCCCCCCCCCCCCCCCCCCCCCCCCCCCCCCCCCCCCCCCCCCCCCCCCCCCCCCCC